UACGUAGGGUGCAAGCGUUAAUCGGAAUGACUGGGCGUAAAGGGUGCGCAGGCGGUCUGUUAAGUCAGAGGUGAAAUCCCCGGGCUUAACCUGGGAAUGGCCUAUGUGACUGGCAGGCUAGAGGAUGGCAGAGGGAGGCGGAAUUCCACGUGUAGCGGUGAAAUGCGUAGAGAUGUGGAGGAACACCGAUGGCGUAGGCAGCCUCCUGGGCCAAUUCUGACGCUCAGGCACGAAAGCGUGGGGAUCAAACAGG
rnacentral:rRNA from 1 species